rnacentral:rRNA from 1 species
CCUACGGGCGGCAGCAGUGAGGAAUAUUGGUCAAUGGACGCAAGUCUGAACCAGCCAUGCCGCGUGCAGGAAGACGGCUCUAUGAGUUGUAAACUGCUUUUGUACGAGGGUAAACGCAGAUACGCGUAUCUGUCUGAAAGUAUCGUACGAAUAAGGAUCGGCUAACUCCGUGCCAGCAGCCGCGGUAAUACGGAGGAUUCAAGCGUUAUCCGGGUUUAUUGGGUUUAAAGGGUGCGUAGGCGGUCGGAUAAGUUAGAGGUGAAAUCCCGAGGCUCAACUUCGGAAUUGCCUCUGAUACUGUUCGGCUAGAGAGUAGUUGCGGUAGGCGGAAUGUAUGGUGUAGCGGUGAAAUGCUUAGAGAUCAUACAGAACACCGAUUGCGAAGGCAGCUUACCAAGCUACUUCUGACGUUGAGGCACGAAAGCGUGGGGAGCAUACAGGAUUAGAUACCCCUGUAGUC